AUUCAGUGCACAGUGAUGUAUUUAUUUCCAAGCACAUAUCUGAAUUCCGUGUGUGGAGAGUAGCAGUGCUGAGUGCUCUGAAG